UGGGGCUCACCUAAGUGCUGAGAUUACAGGUGUACACACUAGGGCUUCAGCCUAUUAGGAAAGCUGAAGUGAGAAGGGAUAACUUUCUUAAAACCAAGACUUUGUAAACUCUCAUGUGUUCUUUCAGUCUCCAAGUUAUUUGCUCAGCUUCUGCCCUGAGUAUAGUCUCAAACACCUCUCUGGGUGUUGCUGGUAAUGCCAGUAAAGACUGUAGUGAGAAGUAUAGUGAGCGCCUACCUAGGCCAGUGGCCUUCAUGUUUGCUCCCCCUUGAAAAUUAGCAGGGCCACCUUUGGCGCCAAGCUCAACCCCUCUGUGUUUGUCAACAGAUGAGCCUUGGCCAUGAACAGCUGCUAGAUCCAGGAGGCUGGAGGGUUAAAAAUGUAUGUGAUGAAGGAAGCUGCAUAAUUUACCAUUUGAAUGAGUGAGAAACUGCG